rnacentral:rRNA from 1 species
GCGUCCCCAAGUCAGGCGUGAAUAC